UUCCACAAAAGGGAAAAAGUCAUGAGAUUGCCAUAUUAACUCCGACGUGGGGAUGGUAACGGGGUAAAACUCAUGCGUUCUUCUCCUCGUCUGGUUUUGGAGCGGUUUGCUGUGAUUCAGUUUGAUUGCAUAUUUUUCGUUCCCUAUUCCAUCGAUCAAAAGCCAAGCACAGUGAGAAGGAGAAACAAAUCCCACUAUCUCCAAACAACCUCAUAUUUAUUUGGUAUUGAACGGCCAAAUCGAUUUCCACUGCUGGGGAUUUCUUUCUUCCAGUUAUCGGCUGCAUCAUCGAGUGAGCAGCUCAUUUUUGUGCGCAAAGGGAAAAUGGUCCACUUGUUUCUGUCUCAAAGGACUUGUGAUGAUGAUAAUGGCGACAUUGACAUCAACGCCGGCGCCGCAAGCGGGAUGGGGUUCACUUCUUGAAGAGCUGGGUUCCCUUCUACGGCAAGUAAUUGUCGCCAACGGGCGGGCGGAGUCUCGUUUGUGGCUGUGCAACACCAUUGCAAGCAUAAAUUCGAUUGGGCCAAGAGAGCAGUGGGUGCUAUUCAGGAAACUAUUGGAAUCAAGCUCACAGAGGCGUCGAAUUGCAGCCCAAGUUUUGCAGUUGGUCUUCGAGAAGAAGCCAAUUGCUUGCGAAGAAAUGUUACAUGCUGGAGAAGUUUUUUAGUGGUAAUCCAGGGCGCAUUCUGCAGUGGUUUGGAAACUUUGCUACUUCUGGCAAGUAUGAGCACCAGAAGGGAGCUUGGGCAAUAUCCCAAUGUGCUUUCAUAAACAGAGACGUUUGCUGGAGGAGCUCAGUGGAACGAGAAACAUGGUCAAUCACUAGCGAUGGUUGCUACGAAGCCACACUAUUUCCUUGAUUUGGAUGUGUUGAGGACAGUGGAGAAUUUUCUGGAGAACGUCCCUGAUUUUUGGGUAUCAAAUGAACUUGCAGAGACAUUAAAGGAUGGGAAAUAUUUCGUAUUGAUAUGGAGUUCUUCACUGAUCAGUUUACCCAUUUAAUGUAUGAAGAGAAUGCAGCAGAUGUAUGGGCUUCCAUUGAUGAAUUUCUAAAUGACGAGCAGUUCUCAAAUCUCUGCAACCUUCUCUUGAUUUUACUUAAUGAAAGUGAGCUGUCUGAGUUUAUGAUUCACAUACACAAAGUUUGUUCAAAUUUGCACUCUAAAGUUUCUUGGCAAACUGAAGGGGCCAUUCUCACCAUCCUUUUGGCUUGAAAUUUUACUUUUAACAAGUUCACACAAGCUAGCCAUUGAUGAAUUGGUUCUAUCAAAUGCAGUUAUUAAUCACGGUCGCCAGUUGCUAGGUCUUGUACAUAUUGAUGAACACAUUGAGGAAAAAGAUAAGACCAGUGAAAUCCUUUCAAAAAUAAAUAGGAUUCGGGAUGAAGCCCAACACUGGUCACUGAUGUAGGAAUGUACAAAAAUAAACAGAUUGGCAGCAAUGAAAUUACUUGGGCUUGAAUCUUGGGUGGUGCAUAGGCAUUUGGCUUUGCAAUGUAAAUCUUCAGAUUCAUGGGAAUCAUUCUUCCUUGCAAAUGGGAUUGGCUUUUGCAAGUCUGCCACAUAUUCGCUAGUUGGUCGUGAUGGCUCUUCACAUAAUGGUGGAAGUAGGACAGGUGAUAGCAGUUCAGCCAGAGUUCCUCGAAACAUAAAAAAAAGAGACAUAGGAAAAAGAGAAAAAAGUACCGUGCUGACUACGACCAUAGUUCCAGUGAUGAAUUGACAGAAAUAGCAAGUUCAACAAGAUGGGAAGGAUUAGGGUCAGAUGGAUGUUGGUUGGUCUCAACUGACAAUUAUUCCUCUCCCUGGAGCAGUGAGGUAGAAGACUCCAGCGGUCUUGGCUUCCAAAUUCCCUGUAUGAAACAUCCAGGGUGCCGUGGCAUUCCUUUUUGGAGCAUAUGCGCAGACCAAAGACAAUCAUUAUAGUGGUGGUGUUU